AUUGAACGCUGGCGGCAUGCCUUACACAUGCAAGUCGAACGGCAGCACGGGAGCAAUCCUGGUGGCGAGUGGCGAACGGGUGAGUAAUAUAUCGGAACGUGCCCAGUCGUGGGGGAUAACGCAGCGAAAGCUGUGCUAAUACCGCAUACGAUCUACGGAUGAAAGCGGGGGAUCGCAAGACCUCGCGCGAUUGGAGCGGCCGAUAUCAGAUUAGCUAGUUGGUGGGGUAAAGGCCCACCAAGGCGACGAUCUGUAGCUGGUCUGAGAGGACGACCAGCCACACUGGAACUGAGACACGGGCCAGACUCCUACGGGAGGCAGCAGUGGGGUAUUUUGGACAAUGGGCGCAAGCCUGAUCCAGCAAUGCCGCGUGCAGGAUGAAGGCCUUCGGGUUGUAAACUGCUUUUGUACGGAACGAAACGGCCCUUUCUAAUACAGGGGGCUAAUGACGGUACCGUAAGAAUAAGCACCGGCUAACUACGUGCCAGCCGCCGCCGUAA
rnacentral:rRNA from 1 species